UUUUUCGGUGCUGAGGUGCUUUGCUGGAGGAGCUGCCAGGGGGAGCUGCGCGGGGCAGGCCCGGGGUACCAGAGGCCCUUGCUUUAGCGGCGGCCCUGCGUGUGCCAGAGGCUUGCAGAGUGAUCUGAGCACGCCAAGAGAUUGCUGUCAAUGAAAGCACCAGAUUUCCGCGUAGGAGGGACUCGGGGGCAACGAUGCAAUUGGAAGUUCCAGGAACAAAGUCACUCACUGUCCUGUGGGUAGUCUCCGAGUCUCUGCGAGGACCCACUGCACGGCAGGAGCUAGUCUCAGACUGAGGUGAGUUCUCGGCAGCAGAAGGCACCACCGCACUCCCAAGGGCUAAAGGUUUACCCUGCACCUCUCCUACUGAAGCUUGCAGAGGGUUGGCAUGGCAGCCUUCUUCAUCAUAGGAGACUCUAAGACUGCUACUUUUGGCUCCUCUGGGUUGUGCAGCUUGAGUGGAAGAGCAGAUCCUCUCACAGCCUAGACCUCCUGGCCAGCCGUUUCUUGCCCUAGACUCCACUCCGAGUGGCAGUCUCCCAAGCUGUCUAAUAGGCGUAUGGGAGAAGUAUCAGCAAGUAUGCUACUUCUAAUGUCCCAGGUGGUGCACCCAGCACUGUGCCUCUUCCCUAGUGCAGCUGAAGGAAAGCUGCCACUGCCUGUGCCUUCCUUUACAAGGGUUGUCCUGGCAUGUGUCAGACCACUGGGUCCCCUAACAACCUUGCCAAUGUGCCAGUCCUCUGAAUGUUUCUGGGCUUUAGCCCCUGCCCUUGGCUUGCACGUGUCUUCUUCCUAGGACAUCCGGGGUGCUUGUGUCAUAUGCUGGUAGCAUAAUGUCAUCAACAGUGCACCAGUGUGCUGUGCAAACUAUCCCGAGACAGCCUGUAUGCAUGCAAAGUAUGCUCAAAAGUACCCAAGGCCGAGGCGUGGCAGCUCAUGCCUAUAAUUCCAGCACUUUGGGAGGCUGAGACUGGUGGAUCACUUAAGCCUAGGAGUUUGAGACUAGCCUGAGCAAAAUAGUGAGACCCUAUCUCAACUGAAAACAAAAAAAGAAAAAGAAAAAGAAAUUAGCUAGGUGUGGUGAUAUGCGCCUGUGGUCCCAGCUACUGGGAGGCUGAGGUGGGAGAAUUCAUUGAGCCCUGGAGGCUGAGGCUACAGUAAGCUGUGACUGCACUAUUGCACUCCAGCCUGGAUGACACAGCAAGACUCUGUCUCAAAAUAAAUAAAUUUAUUUAUUAAUAC